rnacentral:tRNA from 1 species
AAGUUAGUCUUUUGGUAAAGGGUUCUGGCCGAUAACUAGAAUAAAAAGGUUUAAUUCCUUUCUAGCUUU